CUGAACCAGCCAAGUAGCGUGAAGGAUGACUGCCCCAUGGGUUGUAAACUUCUUUUAUAUUAGAAUAAAGUGCAGUAUGUAUACUGUUUUGUAUGUAUAAUAUGAAUAAGGAUCGGCUAACUCCGUGCCAGCAGCCGCGGUAAUACGGAGGAUCCGAGCGUUAUCCGGAUUUAUUGGGUUUAAAGGGAGCGUAGGCGGACGCUUAAGUCAGUUGUGAAAGUUUGCGG
rnacentral:rRNA from 1 species